GAGAGAGUGAGUGUGUGGAUAGGCAGAGAGAGUGCGUGUGGAUAUGCAGAGAGAGAGAGUGUGGAGAGGCAGAGAGAGAGCGUGUGGAUAGGCAGAGAGAGAGAGCGUGUGGAUAGGCAGAGAGAGAGCUUGUGGAUAGGCAGAGAGAGAGAGUGUGGAUAGGCAGAGAGAGAGAGUGUGGAUAGGCAGAGAGAGAGAGUGUGUGGAUAGGCAGAGAGAGCAUGUGGAUAGGCAGAGAGAGAGAGUGUGUGGAUAGGCAGAGAGAGAGCUUGUGGAUAGGCAGAGAGAGUGCGUGUGGAUAGGCAGAGAGAGAGCAUGUGGAGAGGCAGAGAGAGAGCAUGUGGAGAGGCAGAGAAAGAGUGUGGAGAGGCAGAGAAAGAGAGUGUGGAGAGGCAGCGAGAGAUCGUGUGGAGAGGCAGAGAGAGAGAAUGCGGAGAGGCAGAGAGAGAGAGUGUGGAGAGGCAGCGAGAGAUCGUGUGGAGAGGCAGAGAGAGAGAAUGCGGAGAGGCAGAGAGAGAGAGUGUGGAGAGGCAGCGAGAGAUCGUGUGGAGAGGCAGAGAGAGAGAAUGCGGAGAGGCAGAGAGAGAGAGUGUGGAGAGGCAGCGAGAGAUCGUGUGGAGAGGCAGAGAGAGAGAAUGCGGAGAGGCAGAGAAAGAGUGUGGAGAGGCAGAGAACGAAUGUGGAGAGGCAGAGAAAGAUUGUGGAUAGGCAGAGAGAGAGUGUGUAGAUAGGCAGAGAGAGAGUGUGUGGAUAGGCAGAGAGAGAGUGUGUGGAUAGGCAGAGAGAGAGUGUGUGGAUAGGCAGAGAGAGAGUGCGUGUGGAUAGGCAGAGAGAGUGCGUGUGGAUAGGCAGAGAGAGAGCAUGUGGAGAGGCAGAGAGAGAGCAUGUGGAUAGGCAGAGAGAGAGAGAAUGUGGAGAGGCAGAGAGAGAGUGUGGAUAGGCAGAGAGAGAGAGAGAGAGUGUGGAUAGGCAGAGAGAGAG
ensembl:lncRNA